UACGUAGGGGGCUAGCGUUGUCCGGAAUCACUGGGCGUAAAGGGUACGUAGGUGGUUAGUAAAGUUAGAAGUGAAAGGCUGUAGCUCAACUAUAGUAAGCUUUUAAAACUGUGUAACUUGAGAGAUGGAAGGGAAAGUGGAAUUCCUAGUGUAGCGGUGAAAUGCGCAGAUAUUAGGAGGAAUACCGGUGGCGAAGGCGGGUCUCUGGGCAGUAAUUGACGCUGAGGAGCGAAAGCAUGGGGAGCGAACAGG
rnacentral:rRNA from 1 species